rnacentral:rRNA from 1 species
CCAAUAGCGUAUAUUAAAGUUGUUGCAGUUAAAAAGCUCGUAGUUGAAUUUCGGGAUUGACGUGAUGGUCGUGCCUUAAGGGGUAUGAACUGUCGCAGUUGAUUUCUCACCUUCUGGAGAAGCUUGAUGUCCUUAAUUGGGUGUCAUGUGGAACCGGGACCUUUACCUUGAAAAAAUUAGAGUGUUUAAAGCAGGCAUUUUGCUCGAAUACAUUAGCAUGGAAUAAUAGAAUAGGACGGCAUGGUUCUAUUUUGUUGGUUUCUAGGAUCACCGUAAUGAUUAAUAGGGAUAGUUGGGGGCAUUAGUAUUCAAUUGUCAGAGGUGAAAUUCUUGGAUUUAUUGAAGACUAACUACUGCGAAAGCAUUUGCCAAGGAUGUUUUCAUUAAUCAAGAACGAAAGUUAGGGGAUCGAAGACGAUCAGAUACCGUCGUAGUCUUAACUAUAAACUAUGCCGACUAGGGAUCAGACGAUGUUAAUUUUUUAAUGACUCGUUUGGCACCUUACG